rnacentral:misc_RNA from 1 species
AUCUUUGGUUGGCACAUUUGGCACUGAGUCUCUCAGCAAGGUCCAAAAUCUCUUAUGUAUUUGAGUCUCUCUUUUGUUUAUUAGAUGAUGUUAUGUAGAGGUGACUUGUACUUGUACAUUGUGUGACUUCAUAGAAGACUAGAGCCCAAUGUGAGGGGUUUAAAAAAUCCUGAUGUUAUUAUUAAACUGUUAAAUUUAAUUUAAUGCUCCGC